UACGGAGGGUGCAAGCGUUGUUCGGAAUCAUUGGGCGUAAAGCGCGUGUAGGCGGCUUGGCAAGUCGGUUGUGAAAGCCCGGGGCCCAACCCCGGAACUGCAUCUGAAACUGCCUGGCUAGAGUCCCGGAGAGGAAGGCAGAAUUCCCGGUGUAGGGGUAAAAUCCGUAGAUAUCGGGAGGAAUACCAGCGGCGAAGGCGGCCUUCUGGACGGUGACUGACGCUGAGACGCGAAAGCGUGGGGAGCAAACAGG
rnacentral:rRNA from 1 species